UUUAAUUUGUAUUGUUUUUAAAAUUAAUUUUACUGAUAAAAUUUUUAUAUUAUUGUUGUUGUUAUCAUCAUUUUGUAAUCCUGAGGAUAAAACUCAGGGACUCUCUAUCACUAUGCUGCAUUUACAGCCCUGUAUAGUUUUUAUUUUGAGAUAGUGUCAGUAAGUUUCACAGAUGCUUCAAACUUGUGAUCUUGCCUCAGGCUUCUGAGUAGCUGACAUUAUAGUCAUGUGCCACCAAGUUGUUAAUGUGUUACACUUAAAAAUUACCUGUCUAGUGAUUUAAUUCGGAUAAAUGUUAAGUUCACUCAAGAUUUAUUCUCUUGAUGCCACAAAUAUUUGUUGUGCUACUAAUAUGAGCCUAGAAUUUGCAAGGUAGUAAUAUGAUACUCCUAAGCAGAGGAUGCAUAGACGGUAUAUGACAAAAAAUCCAAAUAUUUUCAGUCAUUACUCUUUGUGUCAAGAUCUGAGGUGUUUAUCUGGCUGUUGUUUAUCAGACAAAGCAGGUAAGAAAAUAUGUAUGCGUGUGUAUUUUUUUAUGUAGAUAGUGUCAGAUUUAAUUCUGUUAAAUUUAAAAAGUUUAAAAUUUUCUUUCCAAACAGAUGUUCAGCAUUUAUGUUUUCAUGAUAAGAACAGAAAAUUUUGAGACAAAGGGCAGGUUCUUCUAUUGAUUGGUAUAGCUUCCCUGUAUCCUGGGCCGGAGUGUGCGUGCCAGGGAACAACACACCAGAUAUUACACGCUUUGUGUUGUGCACCGUGGUUGCCAAGCCAGGAGUUCCCAGGGCCAUCCAUCUGCGGCUCCAGUCUGAGUAAUUAAAAUAAAUAUUUUAAGUAGAGUUUUAAAUUCCCCAUGAGUUCCCUUUGGUUGGGGAAGAGUCCGAGGGUAUUAUUGCUGAUAGAAGCAGAGGAAAGAAUUAAAGUUACUGAGUUUUCAUAAGCGGUGAUAGGUUAACUGUUUUUGUUUAGAAGGGAAUAGAUAGUUCUCUGUGAGGAGGGGCUGUGAUAAUUUUGACUAAAGGUUUUGCACACAAAGGGUUAUUAGAUUUCUCAAAAGCAUAAAAAACAAGGUAAUUUAGUACUUUGGGCUGGGCAAGAUUUAAUUUCAAACAAUGUUUUUUCACUUUUCUUUCUUUUUCUACAUCAGCGAACAGUCACUGACACUUACUGGGCAUGACAUUCUGUAAGGCACAGAGUGCAGUUCCACAUCAUGAGCAGGGACUCCUGCCUGUCCAUGGGGAUGGCUGGACUUAGGUGCAGGUGCAACAGAGGUAUUAUUUCUCCUGACUAGUGGCUCUGGACAUGCCUUGUUGAGAUUUUUGAUUCUUCCUGUCUUUUUUUUUUCUGGUUGUUUUAAUUUUUUUCAAAAUGCUGCUUAGUUAUGUUCCCAAAUUUUCGUUUUUAAUCUUUUCACAGAUUACCAGCUUGGCAUCACUUCAGCUUACAAUUAUUAACUGACAUCAUUUGAUCUUACAAUGGAGCUGAAGAGAAGGGAUGCAGUAUUUCAAUAGCAACUCAUCACCUUGGAAGCUACUAUUCUAUGGUGAUCAUAAUAGCAGACAUCUAUUGAGCAUUUUGUGCUCUAGAAAUGGACUAAGCCCUUUGUAUGGAGCGCUGGGGAUUUAGCUCAUAAGCACUGCCUGGCACAUGCAAGGUCCUGAGUUUGACUCCUGGUACCAAAACAAACAAACAAUAACAAACAAACAAACAAGUAUGGAAAAGGAUAAGCCUGUUCUAGGAUGAAUGAAAAAUGCUUUCAGUUUCCUACAGCAAGUAGACUUGGCGCCUUAAAGGUAAGGAUACAGAGUGAUUCAGUGUACUCAUAACUGUUCCAGCAACACUGCAGAUGUUCAUCACCUCCAGGAGAUUCUGAGAGUGUCUAAUUUCAUGUUACUAUUUCAGGACAAAGCACUAUCUCCCAAUUCCAUGAUCCUUAGUACAGUCUCAGGAAGCUUGUGAGAUCCCAAAGUAAAACAGACCACCAGAGAAAUGAAUUAAUGGUUCAGAAGCUUCUUCUGCCUUGGAGAUCCUCAUACUCCUAGCAGAUGCUCUCCUGAUUGAAUCGCACUGUGAGUCCUAUGGUGGCCCCUCUGGCUCCUCCAGGACCAGCUUUAAAGCUCAUUCUGCUUUAAUGAAACUGGCUGAUGUUGGCAGGGACAAGUUUACUUUUUAAUGAGAUUCAGACACCUCCUGCUCUCACUGAGUGUGGCUUAUCACAAACUCAACACUUGAUCUGAGGAACAGAUAAAAGUCUAGCUUUUCUACAAGCAGGAGGAACAAUUGCACUCACAGGUUCUGGAUAGUACAAUGAAUGAAUGAACCCAAAAUGGGCGGACAUUGCAUGCAAAUUUUCUAUAGACCUAUAUUACUGACACCUGAUUUUUUUAAUAGAAGGAAUUUUGGACAGGUGUGCAAAUAUGUGCAAAUCAUACAGCUAUGUAACACCCAUGCCAUUUUUUAAUUAUUUUGUAUAUUUCAAAGUGGUCCUUUGGGGAAAAGGCCUCACAUAACCUAUUGUUGUAGUGUUACAUGGGAGACUAGGAAUUUCAAAUUUUAUAUUUAUUUAUUUCUUACCAUGUGUAAUUUUAAAGCUGCUUUGUUGAGAUAUAAUUUACUUAGAAUAUGAUUCACCUGACUUAAAAUGUAUAGUUAUUAGUUUUUAGUAGUAUGACUGUCAUAGUUACACAAUAAUAACCAUAGUUUUAGACUAUUUGUAUUACUCCCAAAGACACUACAUACAUUUUAGUAGUCACUCCCGUUUCUUUCUAACCCACCCUUUCACUCCAGCCUCUGGCACAAUUAGUCUAGUUUGUGUCUCUGUAGAUUUGCUGAAUGUGGAUUCAUUCACUGGAUACCAGGAUUGUUUCCAUUUUUUGGCAUGUUAUCAUUAGUAUUGCUAUGAGCAUUUGUGUAUGAGUUCGUCCAUGCAGGUAAGUUUUCAGUUCUUUCAAGAGUUUCCUGGGAAGGGAAUUGAUGAGUUAUUUGGAAACUGUGCAGUUUUAGAGAAAUUGCUGAACUGUCUUCUCCAGCAAUUCCAUGAUUUUAUACUCCAAUCAGCAAGGCAUGACAAUUCUGAAUUCUCUAUGCUCACGCACCAAGGAUCAAGCCCAGGGUUUCCAUAUACUAGGUAAGCAUUCCAUUUCUACCUGUAGCCCUAAUUUCUCCACAUCUUCUCCAACCCUUGUUAUUAUUAUUAUUAUUUUGCGUGUGUGUGUGUUGUAGUUGUUGUUAUAACACUAAGUCUAACUAUGGGUUAUUUUAUUUUUUGGGUUUUUUUUUUUUUUUUGUAUCAUCAAGCUAUUCAUCUUUGGCCUUAAAAGUGGAGGGUGGGAUGCCAGUUGAAAGCAGAAAGCCUACAGGAAAGCUUGUGCAACAGAAAGCUGAAGAGGAUGAAAAUGUUGGUGGUCUACUUCUUGGACUCUAUCGUAGCUGCAGACUGGAGUGUGGCUAAGAGGGAAUACCAUGUUCUUGGCUGUGUUUGCUCAGACAAGCACUUUUCACUCAGGUAGAUCAUCACCACACCCGGAUGCAGAAGAGUGGGAAAUGGAUUGUGGCUCAAAGGCCACCAACUUUGCUCUUCUUACCGCAAUGCUAUAGAUUGUUUUGAAUAAAUAUUUCACUUUCUAUUUUUCAUUUGCCAUAUUA